rnacentral:rRNA from 1 species
GAUGAACGCUGGCGGCGUGCCUAAUACAUGCAAGUCGAGCGAACGGACGAGAAGCUUGCUUCUCUGAUGUUAGCGGCGGACGGGUGAGUAACACGUGGAUAACCUACCUAUAAGACUGGGAUAACUUCGGGAAACCGGAGCUAAUACCGGAUAAUAUUUUGAACCGCAUGGUUCAAAAGUAAAAGACGGUCUUGCUGUCACUUAUAGAUGGAUCCGCGCUGCAUUAGCUAGUUGGUAAGGUAACGGCUUACCAAGGCAACGAUGCAUAGCCGACCUGAGAGGGUGAUAGGCAACACUGGAACUGAGACACGGUCCAGACGCCUAAGGGAGGCAGCAGUAGGGAAUCUUCCGCAAUGGGCGAAAGCCUGACGGAGCAACGCCGCGUGAGUGAUGAAGGUCUUCGGAUCGUAAAACUCUGUUAUUAGGGAAGAACAUAUGUGUAAGUAACUGUGCACAUCUUGACGGUACCUAAUCAGAAAGCCACGGCUAACUACGUG